rnacentral:rRNA from 1 species
UGGGGAAUAUUGGACAAUGGGCGAAAGCCUGAUCCAGCCAUGCCGCGUGUGUGAAGAAGGCCUUUCGGUUGUAAAGCACUUUAAGCGAGGAGGAGGCUACUUAGAUUAAUACUCUAGGAUAGUGGACGUUACUCGCAGAAUAAGCACCGGCUAACUCUGUGCCAGCAGCCGCGGUAAUACAGAGGGUGCGAGCGUUAAUCGGAUUUACUGGGCGUAAAGCGUGCGUAGGCGGCUUUUUAAGUCGGAUGUGAAAUCCCUGAGCUUAACUUAGGAAUUGCAUUCGAUACUGGGAAGCUAGAGUAUGGGAGAGGAUGGUAGAAUUCCAGGUGUAGCGGUGAAAUGCGUAGAGAUCUGGAGGAAUACCGAUGGCGAAGGCAGCCAUCUGGCCUAAUACUGACGCUGAGGUACGAAAGCAUGGGGAGCAAACAGG